rnacentral:rRNA from 1 species
AAGCAACGCGAAGAACCUUACCAGGCCUUGACAUGCAGAGAACUUCCAGAGAUGGACGUUGGUGCCUUCGGGAACUCUGACACAGGUGCUGCAUGGCUGUCGUCAGCUCGUGUCGUGAGAUGGUUGGGUUAACGUCCCGUAACGAGCGCAACCCUUGUCCUUAGUUACCAGCACGUUAUGGUGGGCACUCUAAGGAGACUGCCGGUGACAAACCGGAGGAAGGUGGGGAUGACGUCAAGUCAUCAUGGCCCUUACGGCCUGGGCUACACACGUGCUACAAUGGUCGGUACAAAGGGUUGCCAAGCCGCGAGGUGGAGCUAAUCCCAUAAAACCGAUCGUAGUCCGGAUCGCAGUCUGCAACUCGACUGCGUGAAGUCGGAAUCGCUAGUAAUCGUGAAUCAGAAUGUCACGGUGAAUACGUUCCCGGGCCUU